GUCUACGGCCAUACCACCCUGAACAUGCCCUCAUCUCGUCUGAUCUCAGAUGCUAAGCAGGGCCAGGCCUGGUUAGUACUUGGAGGACUGAAAGUAGAAGUGGGGGCGGCGAGGGAA
rnacentral:rRNA from 1 species